rnacentral:rRNA from 1 species
CNUNAUACAUGCAAGUCGAACGAGAAAGUUCCUUCGGGAGCGAGUAAAGUGGCGGACGGGUGAGUAACGCGUAGGAAUCUACCUUUCAGUGGGGGAUAGCUCGGGGAAACUCGAAUUAAUACCGCAUAUACCCUUCGGGGGAAAGGGGGCCUCUCCUUGGAAGCUCUCGCUGUUAGAUGAGCCUGCGUGAGAUUAGCUUGUUGGUAAGGUAAUGGCUUACCAAGGCUACGAUCUCUAGCUGGUCUGAGAGGACGAUCAGCCACACUGGGACUGAGACACGGCCCAGACUCCUACGGGAGGCAGCAGUAGGGAAUAUUGGACAAUGGGGGCAACCCUGAUCCAGGCAUGCCGCGUGUGUGAAGAAGGCCUUAGGGUUGUAAAGCACUUUAAGUGAGGAAGAAAAGAUUUAAAUUAAUACUUUAAGUCCCUGACAUUACUCACAGAAUAAGGACCGGCUAACUCCGUGCCAGCAGCCGCGGUAAUACGGAGGGUCCAAGCGUUAAUCGGAAUUACUGGGCGUAAAGCGCGCGUAGAUGGUUUAUUCAGUUGGGUGUGAAAUCCCUGGGCUCAACCUAGGAACUGCAUUCAAAACUUAUAAACUAGAGUACGAAAGAGGAGAGUAGAAUUCAUGGUGUAGCGGUGAAAUGCGUAGAGAUCAUGAGGAAUACCAGUGGCGAAGGCGACUCUCUGGUUCGAGACUGACAUUGAGGUGCGAAAGCGUGGGUAGCAAACAGGAUUAGAUACCCUGGUAGUCCACGCCGUAAACGAUGAGAACUAGCCGUUGGAUCUUAAGAUUCAGUGGCGCAGCUNACGCAUUAAGUUCUCCGCCUG